AUUGACCGCUGGCGGCAGGCUUAACACAUGCAAGUCGAGCGAGCGGCGGACGGGUGAGUAAUGUCUGGGAAACUGCCUGAUGACGGGGGAUAACUACUGGCAACGGUAGCUAAUAACGCAUACCAUCAGAUGUGCCCAGAUGGGCUUAGCUAGUAGGUGGGGUAAUGGCUCACCUAGGCGACGAUCCCUAGCUGGUCUGAGAGGAUGACCAGCCAAACUGGAACGGAGACACGGUCCAGACUCCUACGGGAGGCAGCAGUGGGGAAUAUUGCACAAUGGGCGAAAGCCUGAUGCAGCCAUGCCGCGUGUGUGAAGAAGGCCUGCGGGUUGUAAAGCACUUUCAGCGAGGAGGCGUUACUCGCAGAAGAAGCACCGGCUAACUCCGUGCCAGCAGCCGCGGUAAUAC
rnacentral:rRNA from 1 species